UACGUAGGGGCCAAGCGUUGUCCGGAUUUACUGGGCGUAAAGCGCACGUAGGCGGAUCGUUAAGUCGGGGGUGAAAUCCUGGAGCUCAACUCCAGAACUGCCUUCGAUACUGGCGAUCUUGAGUCCGGAAGAGGUGAGUGGAACUCCUAGUGUAGAGGUGGAAUUCGUAGAUAUUAGGAAGAACACCAGUGGCGAAGGCGGCUCACUGGUCCGGUACUGACGCUGAGGUGCGAAAGCGUGGGGAGCAAACAGG
rnacentral:rRNA from 1 species